GGCCUUAGCUGAGUAGGUAGAGCAUCUGUUUUGCAUGCAGAAGGUCCCAGGUUCAUUCCUUGCCAGGGCUA